GAUGAACGCUAGCGACAGGCUUAACACAUGCAAGUCGAGGGCAGCGGGUUGUAGCAAUACGACUGCCGGCGACCGGCGCACGGGUGCGUGACACGUGUGCAACCUGCCCGUCACCGGGGGAUAACCCGCGGAAACGCGGCCUAAUACCCCAUAAUAUAAUAUUAUCGCAUGAUGAUUUUAUUAAAACUCCGGUGGUGACGGAUGGGCACGCGGGACAUUAGCUAGUUGGCGGGGUAACGGCCCACCAAGGCGACGAUGUCGAGGGGUUCCGGGAGGAAGGUCCCCCACACUGGUACUGAGACACGGACCAGACUCCUACGGGAGGCAGCAGUGAGGAAUAUUGGUCAAUGGUCGAGAGACUGAACCAGCCAAGUCGCGUGAGGGACGACGAUUCUAUGGAUUGUAAACCUCUUUUGUUAGGGACGAAUAAGUUGUACGUGUACGAGUGAUGCCUGUACCUAACGAAUAAGCAUCGGCUAACUCCGUG
rnacentral:rRNA from 1 species